AUCCUUCUCCCCUUUUCAUGCAUUUAAACCAAAUCUAGUUAAUAGCACAAAUAACAUUAAAGAAAUACUAGUUCCCCUCCUCCCAGCCACCAGCCUUCACAGCAGCGAGUGUGGUCCCCGGGCCAGCAGCAUGGGCAUCACCUGAGAGCUUGUUGGAGAUGCAAAUUCCACCCUAGGCCUCAGAGGCCAGGGGUGGGGCCCAGCCAGGUGUGUUUUACGCCUGCCAGGUGAUUGUGAUGCACGGUAAAGUUUGGGAACCACAGGUUUACUAGUUACUAGUGCUCCACAUACAGUAUCCCAGCAGCAACUCAACACAACCUUAUCAGCCCUGGGCUAACAUCUGCCGCCAAUCCUCCUCUUUUUGCUGAGGAAGACUGGCCCUGAGCUAACAUGCGUGCCCAUCUUCCUCUACUUUAUAUGUGGGAGGCCCACCACAGCAUGGCUUGAUGAACGGUGCCACAUCCACACCCAGGAUCCGAACCGGCGAACCCCAGGCCACCAAAGCGGAACAUGCGCACUUAACCUCUGCGCCACUGGGACAGCCAGUCUCUUUCUAAGUGUAGCUUGCCCGGCUUCACAAUUCUGAGUCCCACUGACACACAAACAACCUGUAGAGUUGGAAGUGGUUCCCUUUAAGCAAGUUUUACCUACUUAGCAUCAAAUUUUGGCCACAAUGCAGCUUCCUCAAUAGGAGUUCACCUGGAGGGCCGGGCCCCACCCCUAGAGUUUCUGCUUGGACGGGUCUGUGCUGGGACCCUAACAUGUGCAUUUCUCACAGUUCCUACAUGCUGCUGGACCCUGGACCACACUCUGGGAAGCACUGACCUGCCCCCCAGGUACCCAUCUCAGUGCCCCACCUGAGCAGCCUCCUCAUUCCUCCCCAGCUGGCAGAGCGUUACUGUUCAGCUCUGACUCACUCGAUGAGCCACGCCACCCCAGCAGGGACACAGGAGUGAGGGCUGGCAUCAGAUCCCAGGUUCAGUGUUGCACAGCUCGCGCUCAGGUGGAAACCCUCGCAGCCUCUCAGCACGCAUGCCUUUUCUUUACACGUAAUGAACUCUCAGCCCCUGUGGUAAAGGAACCAGGUACCCCAGCUGACUGGAUGCCUCGGUUUCCCUGCAGUCCCUUCGGUUUCCUCCCCUCUCCGCAGCCAGUUGUGCGCAGCUGUCCUCGGCAGGGACUCUGGGGGACUCUGAACUGUGUUCACAUCCCUGGCUCAGCCACCUUCUAGCAAUAAGACCAAGGAUGAGUUCCUUCACCAGCACGAGCUUCAGGAUCAUCAUCAGCUAAUGGGCACAGGAACACCGGUGCAACAAUGAAAUCAAAAUGAACACAAAACCCCUUGUUGAGGGUGUGGCUCAUAAUGAGCUGCCAUAAAAGCUACUCAUUGUCAUUAUUAUUCACUGCCUAGUCUACCCCACAACCCUCAGUGUUUCUAGUCAGCAACCCCAUCUAGCCUGUUUGUUUUCCUCUGAACUAUGUACCUUCGGUUUUUCCACGCGGCCAAGUGCUUUCAUCGUUUAGCGUUUUAUUCAAGUGAU
rnacentral:lncRNA from 1 species